rnacentral:rRNA from 1 species
GUCUACAGCCAUUCCACCCUGAACAAGCCCAAUCUCAUCUGAUCUCGGAAGUUAAGGAGGGUCGGGCCUGGUUAGUACUUGGAUAGGAGACCAUCUAGGAAGACCAGCUGCUAUAGGUA